GGAAGCUCCUUGCUGAAGCCAGUUUUCUAUCAGAUCAUCCAUCAGGCCUAGCAGGGGGCAGGCAUUGUGCUGACUGUGGAAGAUCACAGAGAGUGUGUCAGAGUGAAAUUGACUUUGGAACUGUCUUUGUCCCUUUUGUACAGACCACACAACUGGUGCCAAUGGCGUCGCUGCCUGACUUUAAACUGUCCUGCCACUAGGAACCCUCACUGUCCAGCUCCAUAGUGCAACCAGAAGGAGGUUGAUUUCUUUAGGUCCCCACCACCCACCAUGAGAUUGGACAAGUCUAGUGGGAAGUGGUCUAGAGGUGAUGGAUCUUCUAGGAUUGCAAUCAGAGCUGGCUUCAUGAGUGUGCACAGGGGUCCCACACAUGAAUGAGUACUUUCCUUCACUGUCUUAAAAUUCUUAAUAGUGUUUGAACAAGGGAUUAGAUAGAUCAAACAAGGCAAGGAGAACUCAAGAAAGUCUGGUCACUUCAGUGAGUGUUGGUGUGUGAGGAGAAUCAAGUGAGAAGUGCUUUUAGAAACAUCCAUGCAGGUAUGAAGGAGCUCUAACAUGCCAGGUGAGUGGACAAGGCUUGGGGAAGGUUGACGAUACCUAGAGACAUGUCAGCCUUUGGGUCAGAGCCUGCCUAAUCUCAUGGGGAACUGAUGGGUGGAAUAGGCACUCUAGGCUCCCCCUGGCAUGGGCAGGGUUGCAGAGAAUUCAGAAAUUUGUGUGUGUUCACGGAGGGGAGGCCAAGCUUCUGACUGUUGAAGUUAGGGUCAGAAUGGAGAGGCAAGCAUGUGUGUGAGGGACUCUGAGAUGGGAGGCUGACAAUUAGGACAAUGGGCUUUGCCCAUGGAGCCAGAAUGUUACCCUGCGAGGGUGAAUGGCACUGGGCCACAUAUCUCAGUGGUCAGAUCCAGGAUCUCAGCAGUCACUCCUAUCAAUCAGAGAUCGGACCAUGGCAGGCACACUCAGCAAAGUCCCCCAUGAUCCAGAAGACAUGUGCGAAUUCUGCAUCAUCUUCCCCUCCAUAAUCCUGAGGACAGUGAGAGCCAAGGAUUGCUUAGCCACACAGGUGUAGCAGUGGGGGAAGCAGAAAGCUAGAUGAAUCCAUGGAUGGAAUUUUUCAGGAGAGUAACAUAGGGCAUGAAGGCCCAUCAAUGAGAGAGACAACAUUUAGAUAGGAGUACUGGACAUUUGAAAAUUCUUACACCCUGUGAUGUGACAUGGAGAAGUGACCAACACAACUUUGCCAACUAUACUCCAUUCUUAGUAACUGCCGAUUAGGAAGGAUUUCUUUCUAAGUCUGUCACUAAUUCAACUGUUAUUCACAAGAGAAGUAGAGGCAAAUGAUAGCAGCUUGAUCGUUGAUUUUUGAUUUAGAUGAUCAAUGAUGUUCAGAAUAGUGUUUGUAUGUGUGAGCAUGGAUGUGUAUGUCGUGUGUGUGUCUGUGUAUGUGGUGUGUGUGUCUGUGUAUAUUGUGUGUGUGUGUGUGCAUGCGUGUGUGCAGGGUAGGUAUCACCACAUUCCCUGUGGUGGUGUGUCUCUUCUCUGGGAUUGGUUCUUCUAGAAUCUCCCACCUUUUAGAACCACUUUAAGAUAUUUAUUUAUUCUCUCCAACCAUCCUGGCAAUCUUUUUAUCCUUAAACAGGAAUAAAUUCCUACAGCUGAAUCUAUUCAGGAUUUCUGUGUGUAUGUGUGAAAAUUUAUAUGAUGCUCAAUCCUUUAAAAAUCUUUUAUUCAAGUAACUUUAAAAGUAAAACACAAGGUGUUUUAUCAUAAAAAGUGAGAGAUGUUAGUCCACUUAAUUUCUUGCUUGCUUUCUUUUGUGUCCCUAGAUUACUUAGCCUCUGUUUCCAGCCAGCAGUGGAAACAGCAAGGGUGAGGGUCUUAGGAGUCGACAUGUAACACCUAUUACUUCCCUUUGAAGUUCAGAACCAAUUUAGAGUUAAGAGCCAAGAGACACACAAAUAGAGAUCUUAUUUCAGCUUUAUUACUGAUAAAACCAUCUGGAGAAUGUGUUUUUAAAUUUGUGUGCAAAUGGCUUGCUCAGACACCCUGAUUGGAUUAGUUGGAUUCAUACCCCCAGCCAUGGAC
rnacentral:lncRNA from 1 species